UCCAGGACCUGGAUUUAUUGCAUUUGAUAUUCACACCUUUUUACAGAGAGGAUCUACAGAUUUCAUCAGCUGUGAACAACAACAAAAAGAGUACGUAGGAAUUCCAAAAUCCUGUAAUAACAAUGAAAAUCACGGUAAGAGUAAUAUUUUGGAAGACUGUUCUCUGGUUCAAGGCCUUACACUAAGCGCCUUCCCGCCUGGCCGUGGGGAGGGACUUAGCAUGUCCCAGGCAGCUCAACUUUGCAGAAAAGGAGCAUCUCCCAUCCCUUCCACAGGCAGCAGCUUUCUCCAGUCCAUGCUUCAGAGACAGAGGCACCCUGCCGAAGUCCCUCCAUUCCUGAGGGUGCAGUGACCCCAUGUGGCCAAUUCCAAAUGUAGCCACUUGAUGGACAUUGGGCUGUGACUGCUAUUUCUUCUUCAUUUAAGCAAUUCUCCAAUUGCUGUCUUUUGCUGAAGUUUUGCUUUCAUUCCACUGAGGAGGAGAGGCAACAGAGGCGGCUUGGAAUGGGAAGGGCGGGGCUGAGCUUGCAGGGACAAUGUCCACCUAGCCUGCUGGCCACAAGGACCCUCCAGCUCUGAAGGUGCGCUGAGAGCGACCCCUUCGGGCCACAUUGGAGGGGCAGCAACAGGUGAUCUGGAUGGCUGGCCUGAAGCCUUCUAGGCCCCAACCAGGCUGCUGCAUCGCAGAGAAAGGAGAGAGAGAGACAGAUGAGACCAAGGAAACUCUGCACUGAGUCACCCCCAGACUCAGG
rnacentral:lncRNA from 1 species